GACAGAGGCCUCGAGCGUUAGGCGGAAUCACUGGGCUUAAAGCGUGUGUAGGCGGGCCCGUAAGUGUCUUGUGAAAUCCCACGGCUCAACCGUGGAACUGCUGGGCAUACUGCGGGUCUUGGGCCAACUAGGGGCAGCCGGAACAAGCGGUGGAGCGGUGAAAUGCGUAGAUAUCGCUUGGAACGCCGAAGGUGAAAACAGGCUGCUGGGGUUGCGCCGACGCUGAGGCACGAAAGCGUGGGGAGCAAACAGG
rnacentral:rRNA from 1 species